GGACUACGUGAGAUCUUUGUUUUGCCUUGUGGAUCUGUAUAUAAUAAAGCGAGGUAUUUUUAAUCUGAACUAACACAUAGAUUUCACUCGUUGUUCUACAACACUCGAUUUACCAGAUGGUUUGUUACUGUUUUCUGUGAUGACAUUUUUUGUUUUUAUGGGACAUUACUAACUGAGAACAGCAGAGACAGAGGCAUGAGGGGAUCAAAGCACAUAAUGAAUAUGAUGAAAGCAACGCAAUCUGCAAUAAUGCAGGCCCCUUGUAUAAACACAGUCCUGCUAUCGCAGGAGGACUGGACAUGCUUUACGAGUCCAUAAACAAAAUAUCUCGGUCCUCACCCGGGCACUGCCAUAACGAUUUACGAUUCAGAGUGGAAGCAACUCUCAGGAAUGCAACUUUAAGGACUACGAUCUGUGUAAGUGGCAGAAUACCAUAUCUUUGUAUUGAACAGUUUAUUUGAAAAAAAAAAAACAUAAUUUCUGUUUUGAAAAUCAGGUCAUCUAUACAAAAUGCAGAAUAGGAUAUUUAAAAAUUACACAUAAAUUUUUACUUUCUAGAGAAAAUCCACCAAAAUCAUCCUCUUGACAGAAUUCAUUGUUCAUUAUUCUUUUAGAUUGUAUUUCAUCUGCUGUGAGAAACCUUUUUUAUUCUGUUGGUACUAUUGAAAUGUUUUUUUAAUCAGUUGAAUCCGUGCUUAGUGCUAAGAUUUUUAGAGGAAGUUAAAUUUAAACAUAUUUUCUAGUCUUAAUUUAUUUAAUUACAGUUUAUUUUCAUCAUAAAUAUAACCUUAGAAGUCAGGAUGACGUUAAAAAGAAAAGAAAGAACACUUAAUUUCUUUGAUCAUUUCACAUAAAAAAUUGUGUUUAAUGAAACUAAUCAAUGAGAGGAUUUCACAAUAUUUCAAUGCCAGCAUGGCAGAUUAUAAUGAUGUCACGCAUUCCAAAAUGGCGCAUGUUAAAAGUUAAAGUUUUUUUUGGGGGCAUAGCGAGAUGGUCCACGCUAUUUUUCCAUUCACUCACCGGAGUACCGUGCGAGCUGCAUGGCCUAUCCAUGUUUGUGAUUUUCGUAACUGUAAUUUCCAUGGCUUUUAAUAGACAUAUCGGGCCCCACCUUAUAUAAAUUAUGAUGGGAGCAUGGAAUGUGUUUUAAUGAAGACCACUUGUGUAAACACUGUUUUUAUUGUUUUAUCGUAGGAGGACAUGAUUUAACGGGCCCCGGAGAUAACCGCGGACGUAAACAUGUCAACGUGACGUGAGCGUACCGGUUAAAAGUUCAACCCAACGUGGGCGGUCCGGUUAAAAGUUCAGUGCUACGUGGGCUGUCGGUUCAAAAGUUUAGAGCAGCGCGGGAGGUCGGUUCAAAAGUUUAGAGCAACGUGGGCGGUCGGUUCGAAAGUUCAUCGCGACGUGGGAGAUCCGGUCAAAAGUUCACGACGUGGGUGGUCCGGUCAAAAGUUCACGACGUGGGAGGUCCGGUCAAAGGUUAGCCCCUCCCUGGAGGUCAAAGGUUCACGACGUGGGUGGUCCGGUCAAAGGUUAGCCCCUCCCUGGAGGUCAAAGGUUCACGACGUGGGUGGUCCGGUCAAAGGUCACCCCUCCCUCGCAGGUCAAAAGGUCAGCCCCUCCCCUGAG